rnacentral:rRNA from 1 species
GACGAACGCUGGCGGCGUGCUUAACACAUGCAAGUCGAACGGAAAGGCCCUGCUUUUGUGGGGUGCUCGAGUGGCGAACGGGUGAGUAACACGUGAGUAACCUGCCCUUGACUUUGGGAUAACUUCAGGAAACUGGGGCUAAUACCGGAUAGGAGCUCCUGCUGCAUGGUGGGGGUUGGAAAGUUUCGGCGGUUGGGGAUGGACUCGCGGCUUAUCAGCUUGUUGGUGGGGUAGUGGCUUACCAAGGCUUUGACGGGUAGCCGGCCUGAGAGGGUGACCGGACAGGUGGGGCGGGCGACCCGGCCGAGAGGCGGUGGGGGGGCGGCGGGGGGUGCAGUGGCGCAAGGGGCGGCAGCCUGAGGGAGGAGCGCCGCGGGGGGGCUGAGCGCCUGGGGGUUGGAGCCCGCGGCCCCGGGGUAGGAAGCGUGGGGGACGGGGAGGGGAAAAGCAGCAGCGGCACACGCCGGGCCAGCAGCGGCGGGAAUAAUCGGAAGACAACGCGUCUGAAC